rnacentral:ncRNA from 2 species
GUACACAGACAGGGGAGCACGCCAGCGUGCUGAGAGUGCGGGAGACCGCAGACCCUCCGAACCUGAUCCGGUUAGCACCGGCGAUAGGGAGUCCACGAUGAAGAUCG